UUGGGAGUUAGGAUCUUGCAGCAGAACUGGUGUCCGUCAGGUGCAGCUCCUGCCACCACCUAUUACCGUUUAAACUUUAGAUUUCUAAUUGCUAUUUUAAGACCGUGUAAGUAGUAUUUGAUAUUGGUGAUAUGGAGUUCAAGUGGUACAAGAAACUAGAGGGGAAAAAUAUCUCAAUGGAAGUAUGAUGGUACACUGAUUGUAUUCUAGUCCAUUGAAGGACAUAUUUUCAGAUUUGUUGGUGAUGACUUGGAAAGAAUUGAAGGAAAAAAACUGUGUAGUUUACUUGCCAACUUGAGAGCUACAUUGGGAAGGAUACAGCUAAUAUAGGUCUCUUUUGAUAACUGUACCAUUAAGGAAUGGGCAGAAUUGACAUGGAAACUCAGGAAGAAGCUAUGUUGUGGCUCAACAAGUCUACUUCUGAAUGGUUCUUUGAGAGCUAAAUUUGGUUAUACGCCAGGAUAACUGGAAAACUGAAAUCAGCAGGGUUGUCAAGGAUAUAGAUUAUAGAAUGGGCCACCUCAAA
rnacentral:lncRNA from 1 species